rnacentral:rRNA from 1 species
GACGAACGCUGGCGGCGUGCCUAAUACAUGCAAGUCGAACGCAGUGGGGACGGGUGAGUAAAACGUGGGUAACCUCCCAUCAGAGGGGAUAACCCGUGGCAACAGGUGCUAAACCGAUACUGAAGGAUGGAGCCGCGUGGCAUUAGCGAGUAGGUGGGGUAACGGCUCACCAAGGCGACGAUGCAUAGCGGACCUGAGAGGGUGACCGGCCACACUGGAACUGAGACACGGCCCAGACGCCUACGGGAGGCAGCAGUGGGGAAUCUUGGGCAAUGGGCGAAAGUCUGAUCGAGCAACGCCGCGUGAGUGAAGAAGGCUUUCGGGUCGUAAAGCACUGUUGUUAGAGAGGCGGUAUCUAACCAGAAAGCAACGGCUAACUACGUGCCAGCAGCCGCGGUAAUUC